rnacentral:lncRNA from 1 species
UAUAUCAGUACCUCAUUUUCUCUAUGCUUUAUAUUCUUUUGCCCCUAAAAUAAUUCUCUAUCCUAUUUUAAUUGCCCAUUUUUCUGUAAAUCAAUCCAAUCCCUUUCAUUGUGUAAAAAGAUGAUGUACUGCUCGUGUAGAUUUUCAAAGAUCUUUCAUUUGUUGAAUUAUAUAAUAAAAACCUUUUUUAAUCAUUUUUUUAAAUCCAUCAUGGACUUUCAUAAUAA